CCUCAGUAGCGGCGAGUGAGCGGCAAAGCUCAAAUUUGAAAUCUGGCGUCUUUGGCGUCCGAGUUGUAAUUUGAAGAAGGUAUCUUUGGGCCCGGCUCUUGUCUAUGUUCCUUGGAACAGGACGUCACAGAGGGUGAGAAUCCCGUGCGAUGAGAUGACCCGGGUCUGUGUAAAGUUCCUUCGACGAGUCGAGUUGUUUGGGAAUGCAGCUCUAAGUGGGUGGUAAAUUCCAUCUAAAGCUAAAUAUUGGCGAGAGACCGAUAGCGAACAAGUACAGUGAUGGAAAGAUGAAAAGAACUUUGAAAAGAGAGUGAAAAAGUACGUGAAAUUGUUGAAAGGGAAGGGCUUGAGAUCAGACUUGGUAUUUUGCAUGUUGCUCUCUCGGGGGCGGCCGCUGCGGUUUACCGGGCCAGCAUCGGUUUGGAGCGGCAGGAUAAUGGCGGAGGAAUGUGGCACGGCUUCUGCUGUGUGUUAUAGCCUCUGACGAUACUGCCAGCCUAGACCGAGGACUGCGGUUUUUACCUAGGAUGUUGGCAUAAUGAUCUUAAGUCGCCCGUCUUGAA
rnacentral:rRNA from 1 species